AAUAACUGUCGCAGUUAUCUAUGUAACUGUAUAGUAGAAUUAGUUCUCUAAUUGAUAGUGCGGCGUUGAUCACUAUAUUGAUGACGUCAUUACAUUAUUAAUAUUUUCUGUGUAGACUAGAGGACUGAGCUUUUGUUGCUUGUCACAACUUCUAGUGACGUAAAUUUAGUGUGUGUGUGAUUUGCGUCAUUUAUCGUCUAGUACAGUCUCUCCAUUGUUUUGUACGUUGGUACAGAUAGAAGUGUUUUUGAGAGCUCUGGAAUUUCUCCUUGGUUUUUGUUAUUGGAUAGCCUUAGCAUUUGCCUUGGACAUUUUCUUGUUGGAUUAUCUUGACCCCUGUUUAGGGGUUUUAGCGUCAAGACUAAGCUUUAGUCGUAGUCUCAGUUGAAGACUCUAUUUCAAGUAUUAGUGUCAAGUCUAUAUGUUAGACUCUGUGUCAAGUCUCAGUGUCAAGACUUGUUUAUUCAGUCUCAGUUCUAUAUUGAGAGUACAACUUUAGGUCUACAGUCUACAGGACUGAGGUCUUUCUCUCAGUUGGUCGUCUGGUGUGCACGUUGAUUUGUACAUGAGUCUGAGGUUCAAGAUUCCAGACUGCGGGUUGCAGUGGUCAUACCUGAUGGUGUAGUGUCAACUAUGAACUUCUACUUUUUGGAAUUGUCGUCAGUGGACAGUACCUGAUCUAGAGGCUAGAUCUACAUAUAUUACCAGUUAUUGUUUUUGAGAUUGAAGGACUAUGUGAUCCAUUGAACUACUUAUUAUAGUUAAGGUAAUAUACUAUGUGUUUCAUAAUUAUAUGAAUGUUCUGUAUCUAAGGAGACUAACUGGAUCAUUGUAGAUUACAUAUUAUUACAUAUUGAUAUUUCAUACUAUUAUUAUCAGUCAUCAUGAAUCAGUCAUUUGUAAAUAUAUCACAAGAAUAAAUUUUAUUGUUAUUUACAUCA